rnacentral:rRNA from 1 species
UAGGGAAUCUUCCACAAUGGGCGCAAGCCUGAUGGAGCAACGCCGCGUGAGUGAAGAAGGUCUUCGGAUCGUAAAACUCUGUUGUUAGAGAAGAACAUGCAGGAGAGUAACUGUUCUUGUAUUGACGGUACCUAACCAGAAAGCCACGGCUAACUACGUGCCAG